GGGAACAGGUGUCAAAAUUGACCUGUUUAUAAUAGUGGUUUCUUUUACUUAGUGAAUAUAGAAUGUUGUCAUUACUUUAUGCUGCAUGACUGUGUUUUGGAUCUUUGUUUAUUCUGAGUUCUUACAAAAUUUGAUGCAAGGGCUGUGAACUGUUUCAUCAUUUGUUUUUCUGCAGUGUGCAUUAAAUGACAAAAAAAAGGUGUCAGCCUUAACUGGUUUGCAAAGAUGCAAAGCCAUUCCAGUUCUGAGGGGAGGGCAUAUCCCUUACCAAAUGCAGGAGCGUGUUAGUACUUGGCUUUAAAGGUUAGUACCAUUUUUCAAAUUACUUGCCCUUUUUCAAGUGCUCUCUAAAGAAUUACAAUAUUUAGUUGUCAACUCCUGAAAAGAAAGCCAUUUCCUUUUCUUGCUGUAUCUCUUAGUGUUUGUUCUACUGAACUACAGUUGAAAUAUUUUUUGCAGUGUGCCUGUUCUUAAAUCUUGUUGUAAAAUGGCUUAAAUGUUUAAUGGUAUUUCAUCUUAGUUUUUAAAAAUGGGAUAAAUGAGUGUUUCACUAUACACAUGUUGGGCUGCAUAAAGAAGUCAAAAUAUAUAUAUUUAUUUUUUUUUUUAAUGUUUCAGAAGAUGUCCGAAAGUAUCUAAGUUUUUGUUUGGCUUGGGUUGAAAGAUAGAUGUUCUAGUAAAGUAUAACAGUGGUGGGGUUGUUACGGGGAUUGUAAAUUAUAUCUGUAAAUCUCAGCUUGAAGGAUCUUGCACAAAAACAUGGAAAGUAAAUCAGAGCAGAGAGCUCCUAAUGGGCCAACUAGAUCUGGAGAACCAAGUGUUAGGCAGUAGCUGAAUUUCAUGUGUAUUUCAAUUGCAGUGGUAAGGCAAUGUUUCAUUUAAGUUGUCUUCUCAAUUGGUGUUAUUUAAAUCUUCAUUUCAUCAUCUUUGACCUUCAACCUGUUCAAUUAAUAAACAUCAUCAUCAUUGGUUAAAAUGCAGCCAUUAUCAAUGAACAUGGAAGUUACAGCACAGAAACAUUCAGACCUCCUGUAAAUAAAGACAAGGUUCUUCAA
rnacentral:lncRNA from 1 species